ACUUUAAUAGCUUAUAUUUAGAGUUUAAUAUUGAAGAUAUUAAGGAGAUUAAUUUUAUCUUAAAGUA
rnacentral:tRNA from 1 species